ACAUUUUCUCAAGAGACAGGAACUCCACAAGGGAUAAGAUGAGCAAGCUGUUGCUGCUGGGAUUCUCUCUUUUCUUCCUCUUGGGGGAUGGGGAUUCAAAUUUCUUUCCUGGAUGGAACCCAAGAAAAAAAAUCGUCUGUGCUGUCUGUCAAAUAUAUAAAAAAAAUGGCUGUGUUAAGGGUGAGAGUACCUGUUUUACAACAGCAGAGAAUGGAUGCAGAAGCCUAACCCACUUUACCUACUCCAAAAAGAUAUUUGAGUGGAACUUUUCUUAUGCUAUCCUGGAAUGUGCUAAGAAGUGCAAAGAAACUUUAAAGCUCAAAAAUUGGAUUCAAGUGGUGAACUAUUGCUGCAGAGAAAGCUACUGCAAUAAAGAAAUACCAUUUUCAUGAUUGUUCAAUAAAAGCAAGAGGUGCUUUCUGCUCCAUCUUACUGCAAUAACACUUUUGUUUCACACACACACACACACACACAGAGUCAUUCCUUUCCUUUUCUUUUCCCAAUCAAAUGACCUCCCUAGUUACCCCUAGUCCUAUCCUUUCUUCAAUCUAGGAUGGACUUCGUGAUUAGAGAUUGAACACACACAGAUGAAGUUAAAGGGAAGAACAUCUAAUCCACUCUGAAAUUUGUCCAUGUUAAAUUUUUCACAUUGUCUUAUGUUACUCUUUCCCUUAAUUUUUAAAUAAAGCUUUUUAAAAAUCUA